rnacentral:rRNA from 1 species
GUGGGGAAUCUUGCGCAAUGGGCGAAAGCCUGACGCAGCCAUGCCGCGUGAAUGAUGAAGGUCUUAGGAUUGUAAAAUUCUUUCACCGGGGACGAUAAUGACGGUACCCGGAGAAGAAGCUCCGGCUAACUUCGUGCCAGCAGCCGCGGUAAUACGAAGGGGGCUAGCGUUGCUCGGACUUACUGGGCGUAAAGGGCGCGUAGGCGGACAGCUUAGUCAGAGGUGAAAGCCCAGGGCUCAACCUUGGAACUGCCUUUGAUACUGGCUGUCUUGAGUUUGGGAGAGGUGAGUGGAACUCCGGGUGUAGAGGUGAAAUUCGUAGAUAUUCGGAAGAACACCAGUGGCGAAGGCGACUCACUGGCGCAAUACUGACGCUGAGGCGCGAAAGCGUGGGGAGCAAACAGGAUUAGAAACCCCGGUAGUCC